CGUCAGCAUGCCUUAGAGUUUGUCUCAACCUUAACAAUCUACAUUCACUUUUAAACGAAGGUGAGCAAACUUUCAGGUGUGUUGUUUU
rnacentral:pre_miRNA from 1 species